UACGUAGGGUGCAAGCGUUAAUCGGAAUUACUGGGCGUAAAGCGUGCGCAGGCGGUUCGACAAGUCCGAUGUGAAAGCCCCGGGCUCAACCUGGGAAUGGCAUUGGAAACUGGCGAGCUUGAGUGUGGCAGAGGGGGGUGGAAUUCCGCGUGUAGCAGUGAAAUGCGUAGAGAUGUGGAGGAACACCGAUGGCGAAGGCAGCCCCCUGGGUCAACACUGACGCUCAUGCACGAAAGCGUGGGGAGCAAACAGG
rnacentral:rRNA from 1 species